rnacentral:rRNA from 1 species
AUUGAACGCUGGCGGAAUGCUUUACACAUGCAAGUCGAACGGCAGCACGGACUUCGGUCUGGUGGCGAGUGGCGAACGGGUGAGUAAUGUAUCGGAACGUGCCCAGUCGUGGGGGAUAACGUAGUGAAAAUUACGCUAAUACCGCAUACGAUCUAUGGAUGAAAGCGGGGGAUCGCAAGACCUCGCGCGAUUGGACCGGCCGAUAUCAGAUUAGGUAGUUGGUGUGGUAAAGGCCCACCAAGCCAACGAUCUGUAGCUGGUCUGAGAGGACGACCAGCGACACUGGAACUGAGACACGGUCCAGACUCCUACGGGAGGCAGCAGUGGGGAAUUUUGGACAAUGGGCGAAAGCCUGAUCCAGCCAUUCCGCGUGCAGGAUGAAGGCACUCGGGUUGUAAACUGCUUUUGUACAGAACGAAAAGGUUUCUACUAAUACUAGGAGCUCAUGACGGUACUGUAAGAAUAAGCACCGGCUAACUACGUGCCAGCCGCCGCAGUAA